rnacentral:rRNA from 1 species
AUUGAACGCUGGCGGCAUGCCUAACACAUGCAAGUCGAACGGUAACGCGGGGGCAACCCUGGCGACGAGUGGCGGACGGGUGAGUAAUACGUAGGAAUCUGCCCAAUUGUGGGGGACAACCCGGGGAAACCCGGGCUAAUACCGCAUACGCUCUACGGAGGAAAGCGGGGGAUCGUAAGACCUCGCGCUAUUGGAUGAGCCUACGUCGGAUUAGCUAGUUGGUAGGUAACGGCCUACCAAGGCGACGAUCCGUAGCUGGUCUGAGAGGACGAUCAGCCACACUGGGACUGAGACACGGCCCAGACUCCUACGGGAGGCAGCAGUGGGGAUAUUGGACAAUGGCGAAGCCUGAUCCAGCCAUGCCGCGUGAGUGAUGAAGGCCCUAGGGUUGUAAAGC